CUGUUGGGAGGGCGGGUUGUAGGUGUUCCACCAUGCAGGUGUUCCUCCAUGGACGUGGUGGGGCUGAGCGUGGCUGGGUGCCCACCUGCGCCUCUCCCAGUGUGUCAGGGCAGAGUGCGGCUAUGGCUGGGCGGCUUUCGGGUGGUUUAGGGUUGCCAACAGCUAUGGCUCUGCCUUACCCAGCUGUGUCACGGUGGAUGACAGAAACCCCUGGGCUUCUUCCCGGCUCAGAGGGCUAUCAGCUACAACCGUUUUCCUGGCAAGCGAGGUUGGGGGCUGAGUUCCUGGGGUGGACAGCUGACCUCCUUGGAGGCUUCAGUACUUUUCGAAGAAGGUGUUGAAGACUUAGCAAAGCAACAGCAGAAGGAAUGAAAUAGAACACUAUCAUAAUUUUUCUUCAGUUCCGACCUUCUACCCCAGCCUGGCAAGAAUGACUAUACAUUGUCAUGUUGAAGAAUUUUGUAGCGUUUUUGGUUGCUAGGAAACAACGGCCAUCAGGUAGGAUCAGAGGAUAUUUGGAUAGAAUAAAAUGCUGUUGCAAAGACAUAGGUUUCAGCAACAUUUGAAUUAUAUUUAUAAUAUAAUAAUUAUAUACCAUAUGUUAAUAAAAUAAAAUAUAAUCAUCACCUGUGAAGAGGAGUAUCACCAUGUUUGGUUUAGACCAAUCAUUGUUCAUCCCCGGGGGCUGGGCACAGUGUUGUCUGAACAAAGCUAUUUUAUUGAAAGUGAAAAAUGGCUUUGUGGUUGACAGGCUAGUGCCUGCCACACCCUGGUUAGUGGGCACAGGGCUCUUUGGUAAGGGUUAUGGGGAAAGUACCUGCGUGAGCCUGUGCCAUUUCACGGGGCUCUCCUUAGAGGGCACCCACCCCACUUCCUUCAGCAGCCCUGGGUUUGUAGACCGAUCUGAUCUAGAAAAUUGGUAAGAAAUCCUCUCUGUUACCGUCAGGUCUCUCUUGGGCAGACCUCCAGCUCUUUCGUUAUACACAUCAAGUAGGACUCUGCCUGCCUCCCCUUCGAUUUUGGUCCUGGCGGCCUGGUGAUCCUGCGAAAGAUCCUUCCAGGUCUGACCAUUCAGAUUACCUGUAAGUCCUCCUGCAUGUCCUGGUCUCCACUCCUCUCUCUCCUCGAGCAGCUCAAGGUCCUGGUGUCUGCAAUGAAAUCAAGGAGCCGUUUCAACUAUAGUGUCUCCAGUCAGAAUCCCUGACCCAUGGAGAACAGUGACUGUGGUGCUUGUUAUGGUUGGAAUUGUGUUCCCUCCUGAAAUUCAUAUACUGAAGACCUAACCCCUGGUCCCUCAGGAUGUGAGCUUAUAUGGAAAGAGGGUCCUUGCAGAUGUAAUAAGAUGAAGUCAUACGGGAGUAUGGUGGGCCCCUAAUCCCAAAUUCUCUAGCGCCUUCAGAGAGAUCAUGGACCUGCUGACACCUUGGUUUCAAGCUUCCAGCCUCCAGAACUGGGAGACAAUAAAUUGUUGUUUGAGCCUCUCAGUGUACAGACCUUAGAUACCACAGCCCCAGCAAAUUGAAACUUUUCAAAGAUGCUCCCGUCAGCAGUGGACUUCCAAAGGCCUUGGUGAAGGGAGUAUCUUCUGGGUCCUCUGCAGGCACUCAGGGAAAAGGAUCCCUCUGGCUGCUGUUGAAUCAAGAAUAGACUAAUGGGGCAGAGUGGAAGCCAGGAGCCCUGUCUGGAGGCUGCUGUGAUAGCCCAGGGCCUGACUGUGGCUGUUGAGCACGCAUUGUCUAUCUGCUUAGACAUUUCCUAUGGCCAGAACAGAGGCCCUUGAGAUAAAGCUCGAGACAACAGACUGCCACCCUGCUGUGUUCACUGAGACAGAAGACCCACCUGCUGUUGCCAUCAAUCGCUGUGCUGACAGAGCAGUUUCGCAACUAUUGUAAAAGGGACAUUUCAAUCCUAUGUGAAACGUCCUCUCUGGGGGUAUAUAACCACUCUGUGCACCCCUCUUCUUUGGUGCCCUUAAAGGCCCCGGGUUAUAAUCCUCAGAUUUAAGCUCAGAAUAAACUCACCCAAAUUUUCAUUUAUAGAUUGGUUAUGGAUUAUUUUCGUCGACAGGGUGAGGACAUAG
rnacentral:lncRNA from 1 species